rnacentral:rRNA from 1 species
GGUUAAGCGACUAAGCGUACACGGUGGAUGCCCUGGCAGUCAGAGGCGAUGAAGGACGUGCUAAUCUGCGAUAAGCGUCGGUAAGGUGAUAUGAACCGUUAUAACCGGCGAUU